GCUGGAGGGCGAGAACGUCAGCCUUUUGGGGGGAGGGGUACAUGACCCAAUGGUUAACAAGCGGAACAAGUCUACGUGGCCAGCUGGCCCAAGCAAGUGACCACAGUGCCCAUGGACUCUACCAAGGACAUCCACACUCCUGGAGACUGGGAUCACAAAGGGUGGUUGAUCUUCAGAAAAGGAUUCUGCUCUCCAGCCUCUUAGCAGGAAGGUCAGUGUUCCGACUCAGGUGACGGUGAGCAGGUCAGAAGUUGGCAAACUAUGGCCACUAGCCAAAUCUCACCACCAUCUGGUUUUGCAAAUACAGACUCCGUGGAACACAGCCACGCC